rnacentral:rRNA from 1 species
UACGGAGGGUCCAAGCGUUAUCCGGAAUCAUUGGGUUUAAAGGGUUCGCAGGCGGUUUAAUAAGUCAGUGGUGAAAUCCCGUAGCUCAACUACGGAACUGCCAUUGAUACUGUUAGACUUGAAUAUAGUUGAAGUAGGCGGAAUGUGUAGUGUAGCGGUGAAAUGCUUAGAUAUUACACAGAACACCGAUAGCGAAGGCAGCUUACUAAACUAUGAUUGACGCUCAUGAACGAAAGCGUGGGGAGCGAACAGG